rnacentral:lncRNA from 1 species
AUCAUAUCUACUGAUUUAAAAGAGACCUAAACCUAAAUCUUCUCACUAAAUAUUAAGUCUAGAGAUCUUCCAUCAUUAUAGAGAUGUGGGUGCCUUCCUAGCAUUAAUCGUUCUUGACUGAUUACAGUGGUUCGAUUGCAUCGAAAAGGUAUAACCACUCUAUUGGUAUUUGAUGUCUCGUGGUAGAGAUGGGGUUAGGCUCAAUAACUGUUAGG